rnacentral:rRNA from 2 species
UAGGGAAUAUUGCACAAUGGGGGAAACCCUGAUGCAGCGACGCCGCGUGAGUGAAGAAGUAUUUCGGUACGUAAAGCUCUAUCAGCAGGGAAGAUAAUGACGGUACCUGACUAAGAAGCCCCGGCUAACUACGUGCCAGCAGCCGCGGUAAUACGUAGGGGGCAAGCGUUAUCCGGAUUUACUGGGUGUAAAGGGAGUGUAGGCGGUCUGGCAAGUCUGAUGUGAAACUCCGGGGCUCAACCCCGGAACUGCAUUGGAAACUGUCAGACUAGAGUGCAGGAGAGGAAAGUGGAAUUCCUAGUGUAGCGGUGAAAUGCGUAGAUAUUAGGAAGAACACCAGUGGCGAAGGCGGCUUUCUGGACUGUAACUGACGCUGAGGCUCGAAAGCGUGGGGAGCAAACAGG